UGUGCGCGUCACGCUCCUGUGGGCAGGUAAACCUCUGCAGCACGGAGCUGCCCCUGGUUUGGGGGUGUUGGGGCACGAGGGUGUCAGGGUGUAGAACUGCCCCUGGUUUGGGGUACGAGGGUGUCAGGGUGUAGAACUGCCCCUGGUUUGGGGUAUGAGGGUGUCAGGGUGUAGAACUGCCCCUGGUUUGGGGUAUGAGGGUGUCAGGGUGCAGAACUGCCCCUGGUUUGGGGUACGAGGGUGUGAGGAUGCAGAACUGCCCCUGGUUUGGGGUAUGAAGGUGUCAGGGUGUAGAACUGCCCCUGGUUUGGGGUAUGAGGGUGUCAGGGUGCAGAACUGCCCCUGGUUUGGGGUACAAGGGUGUGAGGAUGCAGAACUGCCCCUGGUUUGGG